CUUCUUUUAUUUGCACAGACCCGCAUUUUCAUAAGAAACAUUAUCAACCCCUACUACGUACGUGUUCCUAGGAACACAUCGACUUCUAUGAGCACAACUGGAUUCCUGCACACUAGACGCGGGAACGUCACCAAUGCCAUGGUAAACUACCCAUACUAAUCCAAGCCGACAAACCCUAACGCCAACCAAGUUGAACCAACCCUUGCGCUCCCAACCAAUAAUCUUCCCAAAUCACGACAUCUUUGCAAGCUCGCGGAAUAUUCUGUGGACCACUCUGUCUAAUAUCUAUGACAUAGCAAGU
rnacentral:lncRNA from 1 species